rnacentral:rRNA from 1 species
AUGUGGGCUGUGACCCAAGAGCCUCUAGCAUCCUGUCACAGGAACCGGCUCUUUCGCCGCGCCAGCAAGUUCUGGGUCACCACCCCCCAUGCUGCACACCUCGUCAAGCAUCUCAAAGGUACAAGGCUUACCGGAAUGUCGUGCGCUGCGUGCAGAAGAAAGGAUGUGGCGUUCGCAUAUAGCGUGUCAUCGGUGGCAAAGACACCAACGUCCAGUGGGCAUUACCAAAGUCUCCCAUCGCAGCCUUGCAGCUGCAGGCUCCCCCUCCUCCUCCCUUCCUCCCUCUCUCCCUCCACCGUCUUCUCCUUCAAUCACCGCAUCCCCGGCGACCCCAAGAAUCCGAGGCGUGAUCGCCCCAAAUCGCACCCCAUCUCCCUCGCCCAAAAUCCCAACGAAUCUCGCGUCACAUCAAGGGAUGCAAGAAUCAUGAAUCACCAAGUAUAUUCAUCAACAAUCCGGGAAGAAACCCCUGUCCGCGGUGGUCUGGCCAUGGACACAGACCUGCUGCUCCCCAUCACCGCGCCACGGCCCCUCCACCCGCUGCCGGACCCCACCACCCGCCACCGUUGCUCCCACCACCCGCCGCUGCUGCUCCCACCGCUGCCACCGCCUCCUCCCCAGCCACCGUCGAACCACUACCACCGCGACCUCGAUCCAAAUCAGAGGCACGGGAGAAGGAAGAACGGCCGCCGAAGACGGAUGGCCGGAGAAGAAGACCGCCGGCGGCGCCCUACCCGGAUGGAUCGAGCGAACCCGUGCUCGUGUGUGGGCCACCAAGCCGAUGCUCGACCCGGCACGGGGGAGGGGCUGGCCCCGAGGAGCGGGGAGCCGGCGAAUCUGACGGCCAGGUGCUGGGCGGCGCCCUCCAUCAUCGCCGUCCUUUGGGAGGGGCGCGGUCCCGGUCGAGGUGGUGUGGGGCGGGCGGCGCGGGGCAGGAGGUGGCGGCAGGAUGGAGGUGGAGAAGGGAUCGAGGAGGCAGGGUCGUGCGGGGCGCCGGGCUUUCUUUUCUUCUUUACUCUCCUCUGUACCGGUUCGGGUACACAAAUAUACUCAGAUGCAGCUUGGUCGUUGGAGCCAGGACAAGCUGUAGCAAAGGCGGACAUAGGUGUUUUCUUACAAAUUAACGGGCAACAUACCGAACAUGUAUACAUCUCUGCUGUGUCGCCACCAGUAGCAUCAGCUCUGCAGGUAGAAGCUUAUGGACUGCUGUUGGCGGUGAAGAUUGCAGCUCAACUACAUGUGCAGGAUCCGAAGUUUUUGACAGACUCUGCCGUGCUUGCCUCAGCUGUUGUAGAACCUGAUGUUACUAAAGCGGGUCCGUGGGCUAUCCGGCCAAUCUUAGCUGCUAUCCAGACCACACCUUCAUUUCGUCCAUGCAGAAUACUCAAAGUGCACAGGAGUCUGAAUUUCAAGGCACACCAUCAGGCUAGACUUGCUGUCAAAGUGCAAGAUAAACCUUUCAGCUCUACUUGCCUACAUUCAGAUCAAGGUUUAGAUACUAAUAUGGAACGAUGUCCUGCCUGCAAUGAGCUAUCAGCAAUGAGUGCUCAGCCACUCAAGCUGCUAUUUGCAAAGUGUGCUUAA